AGAGUUUGAUCCUGGCUCAGGAUGAACGCUGGCGGCGUGCCUAAUACAUGCAAGUCGAGCGAACGGACGAGAAGCUUGCUUCUCUGAUGUUAGCGGCGGACGGGUGAGUAACACGUGGAUAACCUACCUAUAAGACUGGGAUAACUUCGGGAAACCGGAGCUAAUACCGGAUAAUAUUUUGAACCGCAUGGUUCAAAAGUGAAAGACGGUCUUGCUGUCACUUAUAGAUGGAUCCGCGCUGCAUUAGCUAGUUGGUAAGGUAACGGCUUACCAAGGCAACGAUGCAUAGCCGACCUGAGAGGGUGAUCGGCCACACUGGAACUGAGACACGGUCCAGACUCCUACGGGAGGCAGCAGUAGGGAAUCUUCCGCAAUGGGCGAAAGCCUGACGGAGCAACGCCGCGUGAGUGAUGAAGGUCUUCGGAUCGUAAAACUCUGUUAUUAGGGAAGAACAUAUGUGUAAGUAACUGUGCACAUCUUGACGGUACCUAAUCAGAAAGCCACGGCUAACUACGUGCCAGCAGCCGCGGUAAUACGUAGGUGGCAAGCGUUAUCCGGAAUUAUUGGGCGUAAAGCGCGCGUAGGCGGUUUUUUAAGUCUGAUGUGAAAGUCCACGGCUCAACCGUGGAGGGUCAUUGGAAACUGGAAAACUUGAGUGCAGAAGAGGAAAGUGGAAUUCCAUGUGUAGCGGUGAAAUGCGCAGAGAUAUGGAGGAACACCAGUGGCGAAGGCGACUUUCUGGUCUGUAACUGACGCUGAUGUGCGAAAGCGUGGGGAUCAAACAGGAUUAGAUACCCUGGUAGUCCACGCCGUAAACGAUGAGUGCUAAGUGUUAGGGGGUUUCCGCCCCUUAGUGCUGCAGCUAACGCAUUAAGCACUCCGCCUGGGGAGUACGACCGCAAGGUUGAAACUCAAAGGAAUUGACGGGGACCCGCACAAGCGGUGGAGCAUGUGGUUUAAUUCGAAGCAACGCGAAGAACCUUACCAAAUCUUGACAUCCUUUGACAACUCUAGAGAUAGAGCCUUCCCCUUCGGGGGACAAAGUGACAGGUGGUGCAUGGUUGUCGUCAGCUCGUGUCGUGAGAUGUUGGGUUAAGUCCCGCAACGAGCGCAACCCUUAAGCUUAGUUGCCAUCAUUAAGUUGGGCACUCUAAGUUGACUGCCGGUGACAAACCGGAGGAAGGUGGGGAUGACGUCAAAUCAUCAUGCCCCUUAUGAUUUGGGCUACACACGUGCUACAAUGGACAAUACAAAGGGCAGCGAAACCGCGAGGUCAAGCAAAUCCCAUAAAGUUGUUCUCAGUUCGGAUUGUAGUCUGCAACUCGACUACAUGAAGCUGGAAUCGCUAGUAAUCGUAGAUCAGCAUGCUACGGUGAAUACGUUCCUGGGUCUUGUACACACCGCCCGUCACACCACGAGAGUUUGUAACACCCGAAGCCGGUGGAGUAACCUUUUAGGAGCUAGCCGUCGAAGGUGGGACAAAUGAUUGGGGUGAAGUCGUAACAAGGUAGCCGUAUCGGAAGGUGCGGCUGGAUCACCU
rnacentral:rRNA from 1 species